UGUGAAUCGCUGUUUCAUUAAUCAAUAUCGUAAUUAAUUAUGCGUCUUGAAGUUAAAGUGAGAAUGAAGUGUACAAUUGUAAAUUAAAAUCUAAUGACAGAAAUGUGUUCGUUUAUGGUUAUGUUUACGCGAUAGUUUCGAAUUUUCGUUAUGGAGAUGUGCUGUUGUAUUAAACCCGUUUGUUUAUUGUUAUUCUUAAAUAGUGAUUUUUGUAAUAAUUAUCGUGUAGUAAACAUGCAGUUCAUAACUUAAAUGCAGCAUGAAAUAGUACUGAAUAGUUAUAUGCUUAGCAUUGGUGUGUGUGCCCUCCAGUGCUGGAUUUAGUGCAGCACAAGGAAGGCAUCGUGGACUCGCUACCUCAGAGCUUAUUGGACGGGCGCCCUGGCAGCUCGCUGCUGCUCACACCUCAGCAGAUUCAGCAGUUACAACAGCAGCUGGGGGUAGGGGA